UAACGACUCUCGGCAACGGAUAUCUCGGCUCUCGCAUCGAUGAAGAACGCAGCAAAAUGCGAUACUUGGUGUGAAUUGCAGAAUCCCGUGAAUCAUCGAGUUUUUGAACGCAAGUUGCGCCCGAAGCCUUUCGGCCGAGGGCACGUCUGCCUGGGCGUCACGC
rnacentral:rRNA from 1 species